UCUAGAAUAGGCAUUGAGAUUGCUUUUGGAAUACUUACUUCUCGUUGGAGAGUUUUGAUGACGAGCAUAUCGUUUUCACCGGAAAACGCAAAAAAGAUCGUAUUAGCAACAGUAGUGCUUCACAAUUUCCUAAGAUUUGGCAUAAUAAAUUCAACUGUUACAGAGGAAAGCGACAGCUCAAAUUUGAAUAGUGUGAAUAGACAAGAUUUGAAUACUGCAAACACGUCAAGUCAAGCAGCCCUUGGCUUAAGAAAUGA